rnacentral:lncRNA from 1 species
UGGGAAAUAGGUGCAAAACCAAAGUUGGAAGAUCCACAAAGGACCUCCACACAUCUUCCAACUUUCCAAAUUGAUCUCCUUAAGACAAUAAUAGGCUAAUAUGAGGUUAGCUAGAGCUAUAAGCCAACCCUUGGCUAGAACAGUGGCCAGUCUAGCUAAGACGUGCCUUCACAACUUUGGCCAAUAAAGAAUAUAGAAGAUACUUGCAGAUCCUUUUAUAGUAGCCAAAGAAUGAAAAAGCAUGAUCAAUCAUAAAACUAACACAUGUAGAAAAUUU